rnacentral:rRNA from 1 species
ACGGGUGAGUAACGCGUGGGAAUCUACCGUGCCCUGCGGAAUAGCUCCGGGAAACUGGAAUUAAUACCGCAUACGCCCUACGGGGGAAAGAUUUAUCGGGGUAUGAUGAGCCCGCGUUGGAUUAGCUAGUUGGUGGGGUAAAGGCCUGCCAAGGCGACGAUCCAUAGCUGGUCUGAGAGGAUGAUCAGCCACAUUGGGACUGAGACACGGCCCAAACUCCUACGGGAGGCAGCAGUGGGGAAUAUUGGACAAUGGGCGCAAGCCUGAUCCAGCCAUGCCGCGUGAGUGAUGAAGGCCUUAGGGUUGUAAAGCUCUUUCACCGGAGAAGAUAAUGACGGUAUCCGGAGAAGAAGCCCCGGCUAACUUCGUGCCAGCAGCCGCGGUAAUACGAAGGGGGCUAGCGUUGUUCGGAAUUACUGGGCGUAAAGCGCACGUAGGCGGAUAUUUAAGUCAGGGGUGAAAUCCCAGAGCUCAACUCUGGAACUGCCUUUGAUACUGGGUAUCUUGAGUAUGGAAGAGGUAAGUGGAAUUCCGAGUGUAGAGGUGAAAUUCGUAGA